GACGUAGGAUGCAAGCGUUGUCCGGAUUUAUUGGGCGUAAAGAGUUCGUAGGUGGUUUGUUAAGUCUGAUGUUAAAGACUGGGGCUCAACCUCGGAAAUGCAUUGGAUACUGGCAGACUUGAGUGUGGUAGAGGCAAUCGGAAUUCCAGGUGUAGCGGUGAAAUGCGUAGAUAUCAGGAAGAACACCCGUGGCGAAAGCGGCUCUCUGGAACGGUACUGACGCUGAGGAGCGAAAGCGUGGGGAGCGAACAGG
rnacentral:rRNA from 1 species